GUGUUCUUUAGUCAGUAAUUUACACAGCCAGACACCAUGCAAAAGUAAAGUCUUCCUUUUAAGAUGGCUGAUAUGCUGUAUUUUAUGGUAUAUCAUUAUUAGAAGUGAGUACAAAU
rnacentral:snoRNA from 7 species